rnacentral:lncRNA from 1 species
ACUGCAUUUUACCCCUAUGUUCUAUUUUAAGCCGUGGCAGCCAUCUUGGUUGAAUGGCCAGGUCAUCGGACAAAUUUUUCAAACUAGAUACCCCAAAGAUGAUUGUGGCCUAGUAGUUUCAGUGGAGAUUUUGUAAAAGAUUACUUAGAUUUAUGAAAAAUGGUUAAAAAUUGACUAUAAAGGGCAAUAACUCCUAAACGGGUCAACUGACCAUUUCGGUCAUGUUGACUUAUUUGUAAAUCUAACUUUGCUGAACAUUAUUGAUGUUUACAGUUUAUCUCUAUCUAUAAUAAUAUUCAAGAUAAUAACCAAAAACAGCAAAAUUUCCUCAAAAUUACCAAUUCAGGGGCAGCAACCCAACAACCGAUUGACUGAUUCAUCUGAAAAUUUCAGGGCAGGUAGAUCUUGACCUGAUAAACAUUUU